rnacentral:rRNA from 1 species
UACGGGGGGGGCAAGCGUUGUUCGGAAUUACUGGGCGUAAAGGGCUCGUAGGCGGCCAACUAAGUCAGACGUGAAAUCCCCAGGCUUAACCUGGGAACUGCGUCUGAUACUGGAUGGCUUGAAUUCGGGAGAGGGAUGCAGAAUUCCAGGUGUAGCGGUGAAAUGCGUAGAUAUCGGGAGGAACACCAGUGGCGAAGGCGACUUCCUGGCCUGUUCUUGACGCUGAGGCGCGAAAGCUAGGGUAGCAAACGGG